UACGGAGGGGGCGAGCGUUAUUCGGAAUUAUUGGGCGUAAAGGGCGCGUAGGCGGUGCGGUAAGUCACCUGUGAAAUCUCCUGGCUCAACUGGGAGCUUGCAGGCGAAACUGCCGUGCUGGAGUGUGGGAGAGGUGCGUGGAAUUCCUGGUGUAGCGGUGAAAUGCGUAGAUAUCGGGAGGAACACCAGUGGCGAAGGCGAUCACCUGGGGUUGUUCUGACGCUGAGGAGCGAAAGCUAGGGGAGCAAACGGG
rnacentral:rRNA from 1 species